rnacentral:rRNA from 1 species
UACGUAGGGUCCGAGCGUUGUCCGGAAUUACUGGGCGUAAAGAGCUCGUAGGUGGUUUGUCGCGUUGUUCGUGAAAACUCACAGCUUAACUGUGGGCGUGCGGGCGAUACGGGCAGACUUGAGUACUGCAGGGGAGACUGGAAUUCCUGGUGUAGCGGUGAAAUGCGCAGAUAUCAGGAGGAACACCGGUGGCGAAGGCGGGUCUCUGGGCAACAACUGACGCUGAGGAGCGAAAGCGUGGGGAGCGAACAGG